rnacentral:rRNA from 1 species
CCUACGGGUGGCAGCAGUGAGGAAUAUUGGUCAAUGGUCGGGAGACUGAACCAGCCAAGCCGCGUGAGGGAUGAAGGUACAGAGUAUCGUAAACCUCUUUUGUCAGGGAACAAAGGCGGGGACGUGUCCCCGGAUGAGUGUACCUGAAGAAAAAGCAUCGGCUAACUCCGUGCCAGCAGCCGCGGUAAUACGGAGGAUGCGAGCGUUAUCCGGAUUUAUUGGGUUUAAAGGGUGCGUAGGCGGACUGGAAAGUCAGCGGUAAAAUCGAGAGGCUCAACCUCUUUCCGCCGUUGAAACUGUCGGUCUUGAGUGGGCGAGAAGUAUGCGGAAUGCGUGGUGUAGCGGUGAAAUGCAUAGAUAUCACGCAGAACUCCGAUUGCGAAGGCAGCAUACCGGCGCCCGACUGACGCUGAGGCACGAAAGCGUGGGUAUCGAACAGGAUUAGAUACCCUUGUAGUC